rnacentral:rRNA from 1 species
GGUGACCCAAACCCUCACCAGAGUAGCAAUUGGAGGGCAAGUCUGGUGCCAGCAGCCGCGGUAAUUCCAGCUCCAAUAGCGUAUAUUAAACUUGUUGCAGUUAAAAAGCUCGUAGUUGUAUUUUUGCGUUGACGGUUUGACCAUUUGGUUGGUUAUUUCGUUUUCGCUUUUGGGAAUUUCCCUUUUUACUUUGAGAAAAUUAGAGUGUUUCAAGCAGACUUUUGUCUUGAAUACUUCAGCAUGGAAUAAUAGAGUAGGACUUUGGUUCUAUUUUGUUGGUUAUUGAACCUUAGUAAUGGUUAAUAGGAACGGUUGGGGGCAUUC